GAUUAACGCUGGCGGCGUGCAUAACACAUGCCAGUCGAACGAUGAAGAUUAUUAGACUUCUUCGGAACGAAAAUAAUUGGAUUAGUGGCGGACGGGUGAGUAACGCGUGAGUAACCUGCCUUACACAAGGGGAUAGCCGUUGGAAACGACGAAUAAUACCCUAUGAAACUAUCACUUCGCAUGAAGCGAUAGUCAAAGUGUUAGCGGUGUAAGAUGGACUUGCGUCUGAUUAGCUAGUUGGUGAGAAAAAAGCCCACCAAGGCAACGAUCAGUAGCCGGCUUGAGAGAGUGUACGGCCACAUUGGGACUGAGACACGGCCCAGACUCCUACGGGAGGCAGCAGUGGGGAAUUUUGCACAAUGGGGGAAACCCUGAUGCAGCGACGCCGCGUGAUUUAGAAGGCCUUCGGGUUGUAAAAAUCUUUUGUAUAGGAAGAAAAUGACAGUACUAUACGAAUAAGGUCCGGCUAAUUACGUG
rnacentral:rRNA from 1 species